rnacentral:rRNA from 2 species
CAUACGACUCUCGGCAACGGAUAUCUCGGCUCUCGCAUCGAUGAAGAACGUAGCGAAAUGCGAUACUUGGUGUGAAUUGCAGAAUCCCGUGAACCAUCGAGUCUUUGAACGCAAGUUGCGCCCGAGGCCUUCCGGUUGAGGGCACGCCUGCCUGGGCGUCACGC